UAGGGAAUCUUCGGCAAUGGGGGGAACCCUGACCGAGCAACGCCGCGUGAAUGAAGAAGGUUUUCGGAUCGUAAAGCUCUGUUGUUAAGGAAGAACGAGUGUGAGAAUGGAAAGUUCAUGCUGUGACGGUACUUAACCAGAAAGGGACGGCUAACUACGUGCCAGCAGCCGCGGUAAUACGUAGGUCCCGAGCGUUGUCCGGAUUUAUUGGGCGUAAAGCGAGCGCAGGCGGUUAGAAAAGUCUGAAGUGAAAGGCAGUGGCUCAACCAUUGUAGGCUUUGGAAACUGUUUAACUUGAGUGCAGAAGGGGAGAGUGGAAUUCCAUGUGUAGCGGUGAAAUGCGUAGAUAUAUGGAGGAACACCGGUGGCGAAAGCGGCUCUCUGGUCUGUAACUGACGCUGAGGCUCGAAAGCGUGGGGAGCAAACAGG
rnacentral:rRNA from 1 species